GUUUUAGUAGCUGCACAUCUGUGGAUGGCCAUGAGUAAUCAUCUCGCGCUGGUUAGGAUUAGGCUGCUGGAGGGGGCGACCCUCAGGCUUUCAAGUACAACGGACGCACCUUGACCUUGGGACGUGGGGGCCUGCACACCUUCCAUAGAAGAGCAGGGAGCUUAAUAAGGCCUCUAUGUUCCCUACAAAGUGUGGGAACUUUGUAAAGUGUGAUUCCGGGGAAAGUGCUCACAACCCUUGAAGGCCAUAUGUCCAGCGAUGGAGAGCCAUGUAUGGAUUUGCCUCCGGUUUGUCUUCUCCUGAGGAAGUGGAUGCCAUGUGUCACUUUGCAGAUGGAUCAAGUGCAGGAGGUGCCUGUUGGAGACGCAGAGCUCUGCAGCAGCAGGUGAGCUGAUGCUGCAACCUGCUAAACGCCGCUCCUGCGGAGCGCCAGGGCCCAGAGUGCACAUGGCUCUCAGGCUCCGUGAAAAGCUUGCAGUGAGCUCAGCCACUGAAAAGUCACUACGAAGAUGGAAAGCAAAAUGAAAACCGAGUCCUCGACACCGCUUCCUGGAGCUGUUCUGUGCAGAAGUUGAGUGAAGAUACUGCAGCGAGCCCUGGGUCUGAACGCCUGUGUGCUGACUCUAGACCUGCUCCUCAGCCCCAGUUUUCUCUGAAAAACCAGGAUUCUAGCACAACUCGUACCCCCAUUCUUUUCAGUCCUGCACCCACCAGCGAGCCGCAAGGCCCAGGAGCUACUGGCCCUGUUUUCCUGUCUCCAGUACUGGCCUUUGAUUUAUGAGAUGUCCCCUGUCUCCCCUGCUUCUGACCUCCCAGGAUGGCAUUUGGUGAUUUCUUGAUGUUCUCUUGCUUUGGCAUUAAAAUAUGGAUGGGAGUGUCAUUUCCAGAUCUUUUCCAGACCUGUGCAAUUCUUUCCAUUCUUCAUAACAGCCCAUGACCCACCUUCCUCUGUUUCAGCCACAAAGCUAGCCAUGCCUGUGUGCGCACUGCUGUUUCUCAUUGUUAAUAUUUUAACUGUUAUUAAAAAAAAAACUUUCUUUUAAACUGUGUGUGUAUGGUUUUAAAAAUUGACGCACUUCCAGAGCUCUCAACUUCUGCAGUCUUUCUGAGGUCCGUGUUCCUCUUCUUCAGCUGGGAAGCAAAUGCUUGACUU
rnacentral:lncRNA from 1 species